UACGAAGGGGCUAGCGUUGCUCGGAAUUACUGGGCGUAAAGCGCACGUAGGCGGCUUUCUAAGUCGGGGUGAAAUCCUGGAGCUCAACUCCAGAACUGCCUUCGAUACUGGAAAGCUCGAGUCCGGGAGAGGUGAGUGGAACUGCGAGUGUAGAGGUGAAAUUCGUAGAUAUUCGCAAGAACACCAGUGGCGAAGGCGGCUCACUGGCCCGGUACUGACGCUGAGGUGCGAAAGCGUGGGAGCAACAGG
rnacentral:rRNA from 1 species